CUCGGAUCUAAAGGAGCUCGGCCUAGAGCCAUUGACUGGAGCCAGCUCUAGCUGCCCAUAGUUAGAGGAGGUGGCCUGGACAACCCCUUCUCCAAGGAAUAGGAUUGGGAGGCGAUCAAGGCCUCGCCUGCAGAAAAAGCUCCGCGCCCGGAUGGAUUCGUAGGAGUUUUCUUCGGUAGUUGCUAGCAUACUAUAAAACACGACGUCAUGAAGGCUUUCCAUCAGUUCUAUAGCAUAGCCGGUGACGAC
rnacentral:rRNA from 1 species